AUUGAACGCUGGCGGCAGGCCUAACACAUGCAAGUCGAGCGGGGUUUUCGGACCUAGCGGCGGACGGGUGAAUAAUGCGUAGGAAGCUACCCGAUAGAGGGGGAUACCAGUUGGAAACGACUGCUAAUACCGCAUAAUGUCUACGGACCAAAGUGUGGGACCUUCGGGCCACAUGCUAUCGGAUGCGCCUACGUGGGAUUAGCUAGUUGGUGAGGUAAUGGCCCACCAAGGCGACGAUCCCUAGCUGGUUUGAGAGGAUGAUCAGCCACACUGGAACUGAGACACGGUCCAGACUCCUACGGGAGGCAGCAGUGGGGAAUAUUGGACAAUGGGCGCAAGCCUGAUCCAGCCAUGCCGCGUGUGUGAAGAAGGCCUUCGGGUUGUAAAGCACUUUCAGUAGGGAGGAAGCGUUGUGUGUUAAUAGUACACAGCGUUGACGUUACCUACAGAAGAAGCACCGGCUAACUCUGUGCCAGCCGCCGCGGUAAUAC
rnacentral:rRNA from 1 species